CUACGGUUUUGCUCGCAUCGACCUUCGUGAGCAACCGCUAUGUUAGCAACCAUAGAUCGCAUACACUAGUGGAAAAAUCGUAACCAAGAAACCAUUGUAGACCAUUACGAUUUGUUUGUUAGCUUGACCAUCAUAGACUCCGACCUUCAGUUAGUUAACCGUCACUCAUGGUUCAUUCGCGUCCUCGUACAAACUGCAAAUAUACUAGCUAAGUACCAGAGGAAAAUUGCGUAAAUGCAUCAAUACCAUUCUUCUUGGCUGAUUAGUAACCCUAGACCUAUUAUUGUCAUACUCUUGUGGCAAGUCAAUCAUCCGUGCACUCCGAAUUAUGGUACCGUCUCCGUCAUCAUCCGCACAUCGCUUGGCGUACAGCUGCAGUUGGUCCAGCGAAAUAACCCCUGGAUAGUUUGCCAAGUUCCCUCCAAACUACAGAAUUUCAACUGAUGAGUUCUCUCCAGGACCAUACGUGUCGGAAGAAUAAUAAAUUUGAUUGGUUUUUUUUUUCUGGAUUUUGAAUGCAUGUUCAUUCCCAUCCCUCGGCUCACAUCGUUUCAGAUACUGUCGGGAAAAUUCGACAGUAUCACGGAGGACAUAAUGAAGUGAACAAUAUUGUACUAAAAUAUGUCUAUGUAAAUAAAUAUUUGGUGCAAAUGGUUUUGUUCAGUUUUUUUUUGCAUUCUUGAAAAAGAUAAUAAGCUGCUAAGGUCUCGGGUGUGGUUCUAUUUAUGUAAGUGUUCGGACUAGGUAAAGUUAUUGGGAAAUUUCAAAAAGCUGAACACUGCAAUCAUUUUUGAACAUUAUCCAAAUAUUAUCCGUAGAAUAGAUUGAUUCAAAAUAAAAUGGAAAGAAUAGGUUGCUCCUACUGCGGCCAGCAGUUAUCCUGAAUGAAAUGAUAUUUCAUAACUACACUGGCUCAAUAACUCAAGAGCCUUCACUACUCGU